CGGCACUCCAGAUGUUGUGAACUACACCUCCCAUGAUGCUUUGCCAGCAUUAUGGGAGAUGAAGUCCAAAACAUUUGGUGUGCCA
rnacentral:miRNA from 1 species